UACGGAGGGUGCAAGCGUUAUCCGGAUUCACUGGGUUUAAAGGGUGCGUAGGUGGGCAGUUAAGUCAGUGGUGAAAUCUCCGGGCUUAACCCGGAAACUGCCAUUGAUACUAUCUGUCUUGAAUAUCGUGGAGGUAAGCGGAAUAUGUCAUGUAGCGGUGAAAUGCUUAGAUAUGACAUAGAACACCAAUUGCGAAGGCAGCUUACUACCCGAAUAUUUGACACUGAGGCACGAAGCGUGGAUC
rnacentral:rRNA from 1 species